rnacentral:tRNA from 1 species
GCUCCGGUGGUGUAGUCCGGCCAUGAUUCCGCUUACUGAUUCGGAAUACACCGGAAAAGCAUAGAGGCCUCUCGAGUCUCUGACCCGGGUUCAAAUCCCGGCCGGAGCA